rnacentral:rRNA from 1 species
CGCUGGCGGCGUGCUUAACACAUGCAAGUCGAACGGUAAGGCCCUUCGGGGUACACGAGUGGCGAACGGGUGAGUAACACGUGGGUGAUCUGCCCUGCACUUUGGGAUAAGCCUGGGAAACUGGGUCUAAUACCGAAUAUGACCAUGGACUUCACGGUUUGUGGUGGAAAGCUUUUGCGGUGUGGGAUGGGCCCGCGGCCUAUCAGCUUGUUGGUGGGGUAAUGGCCUACCAAGGCGACGACGGGUAGCCGGCCUGAGAGGGUGACCGGCCACACUGGGACUGAGAUACGGCCCAGACUCCUACGGGAGGCAGCAGUGGGGAAUAUUGCACAAUGGGCGCAAGCCUGAUGCAGCGACGCCGCGUGGGGGAUGACGGCCUUCGGGUUGUAAACCUCUUUCACCAGGGACGAAGCGAGAGUGACGGUACCUGGAGAAGAAGGACCGGCCAACUACGUG